rnacentral:lncRNA from 1 species
AGCGCGUUCCUCAGAGCUGCUGCACAGAGCAAAGCGUUCUCCUUUUGGAAAGCCCCAGCGCUGCUGCUGCAGCUCAAGCACUGCACAAGCUGCACCACGCUCUGCUGCAGUCAGCACUGGGGGGCUCACAACACAAGGCACCCCCAGCGAGCUCCCAAACCCUUCCAAACCAGCUGCAGCCUCAUGACAGCAGAGGAGAGAGAGAGCAGAAGCACCCUGAGACACUGCAGGUGCCACAACACACUGGCUAUGGCACAGUGGCCCAGCUGCCCCCCAGCUCCACAUGGGCACAGCAGCAGUGGAAGCAGCAUCCUCCCAGCCCCACUCUGGCUGUGCUGGGACACAGAGCAGGCACAAAUCCCCUCCCUCCAUGCCAGAAGGCCUUGCCAUGAUGAGCCAGCUGGGCAGCGAGGUGCUUUGGAGAUGGAGCAGAGCAGCAACCAGGUGCAGAGCCCAGUAACCUACCCGCCUCCGAGCCAUGGCCACCACCUCACUCGCAGCUUUUCUGAAGGCAACUCAGCCUCCCCGACACAUCCGGACCUUCCCAGCGCUGCUCCCAGCCCCACAUCCUCCGCGGCUCCACCCAGACCAGCUCCCACCCCGGCUGCACCAGCACCAGCCUGGCGGAGCCCGCUGGACCCGUCCACUCCAAGCAAACCCCAGCUGGCUGGGAAGGAGACCCACAGAGAUGGCACAGUUCCCCCUCCUGCUCUGGGUGUGAUGCCUCCACCCUCACACAGCUCUUACAUCCCCAUGGGGGACCUGGAGGCUUUCUUGCACCGCCUUUUAACAGCACCACUUGGUCAUCUUUGCGCUCACCUCGCUGGUGCAGACACUUGUAGAAGGGGGGCUGGGCACAGCUCUGCUCACCCGCCGGGAGGAGGCAAGCGAGCAGCCCGGACACGGUUCUCAUCCCAGAUGGGAACAGGACGCCCUGAGAACACGUCCUGCCUUCGCUCCUUGGGGAAGGCCGUGGAAACAGAGCACAGACGCAAAUAUCAUCAAGUUCAGCCCGAA